AGGACGAACGCUGGCGGCGUGCUUAACACAUGCAAGUCGAGCGAUGAAGUUUCUUCGGAAAUGGGAUUAGCGGCGAACGGGUGAGGAACACGUGAAGAAUCUGCCCUCCACUUUGGGAUAACACCGGGAAACCGGUGCUAAUACCGAAUAUUGAAACAUAAGUGGCAUCACUGAGUUUUGAAAGAAUUUCGGUGGAGGAUGACUUCGCGGCCUAUCAGCUAGUUGGUGAGGUAAUGGCUCACCAAGGCAACGACGGGUAGCCGGCCUGAGAGGGCGACCGGCCACACUGGGACUGAGACACGGCCCAGACUCCUACGGGAGGCAGCAGUGGGGAAUAUUGGGCAAUGGAGGAAACUCUGACCCAGCGACGCCGCGUGCGGGAUGAAGGCCUUCGGGUUGUAAACCGCUUUCAGUAGGGAAGAAGCGAAGGUGACGGUACCUACAAAAGAAGCACCGGCUAACUAUGUG
rnacentral:rRNA from 1 species